ensembl:lncRNA
CGUUCAUGCAAAUUCAGUAAUUUCAGCGCACUAAUAUGUGUUAGCAAAUAUGAUUUAUCAGUAAUGGAUGCUAUUAUUUUUGCCUCUUACCAACAAAUUACAGGAAACUAACAAGAGGGGGCGCCAGUAAAACAAACUAGUUAAAUGGGUAAUUUUCUUUUGAAAGUUAAAAACACUGUUUAUGCUCAUUUGUUUAGAGUAACUGAAUAAACUUGAAACACAUCUAUGAUUCAGUAAUAUGAUUCUCAUUAAAAAGUUAGAAAAUUAUGUAUCAAGAUGUAUUCAACAUGAUAAGCACACGCAACAACUGUUUUCAUAUUUGUUGAGCAUGAGUACGCAUUUACAUGACUUUCAGGUUGGUAGUUUUAUGUAUGUUAUAUGAAUGUAUAUUAAAGACGCCUGCAAAUGGCACUGAUGUGUUACUGUGCAUGGAUGUCAUUGCAGGUCUAGGCCCAUGCGUUCCCAGGAUCCAUUUCAACAUUAGGCUGUAUCACUGAAAGUAUAGCCUGUGUUCUGACCGUCAGGCAGGUGUCAUUACUGCACUUCAUUUGCAAGGUGCGGUGGACCCUAGUGUAGACGGGAGCUUGCAGAGGGACCUUCCCCACGGACUAUAUGAAGGGAAGGGAGGGGAGGGGGAGGGGGGGCUGCUGACGUUACUCCCAGCUUGCAGAACACACAGAGACAAGAACUUUAAUGGCUUCCAGGUAGAGAGAAAGAGGCAGCAGUCAAGAUGAACUCGAUUCCUUCGAUGGACAGGCACAUACAGCAGACCAAUGACAGGCUGCUGUGCAUCAAACAGCACUUACAGAAUCCGGCCAAUUUCCAGACAGCGGCCACGGAGCUACUGGACUGGUGUGGAGACCCACGAGCCUUCCAGCGGCCAUUUGAGCAAAGCCUUAUGGGAUGCUUGACGGUUGUAAGUCGUGUGGCAGCACAGCAGGGUUUUGACUUGGACCUCGGCUAUCGGCUCCUGGCCGUGUGUGCGGCAAACCGCGACAAGUUCACCCCUAAGUCGGCAGCUCUCCUGUCGUCCUGGUGCGAGGAGCUGGGACGGCUGCUCUUGUUGCGGCAUCAGAAGAAUCGUCAGAGCGAUCCACCGGGCAAAGUACCCUUGCAGCCACCCAUGAACUCCAUGAAGCCCUCGCUCUCACAUGGUGAUGGGUCCUUUCCAUAUGACAGUGUUCCCUGGCAACAAAACGCUAACCAGGCCCCGGGUUCGCUGUCGGUAGUUACGACGGUGUGGGGAGUUACCAAUACAUCACAAAGUCAGGUCUUGGGUAACCCCAUGGCCAAUACUAACAAUCCCAUGAACCCUGGAGGCAAUACACUAGGGACGAGUAUGUCAGGCAACAACCCAGGGAUCAACUCACCUCAGUUCCCUGGCCAACAACAACAGUUUUCAGCCAAAGGGGGAUCCAACCAGGCCUACAUCCAGCAAAGCAUGUAUGGGCGUCCAGGUUACCCAGGUGGGCCAAAUGCUCCGGGUGGCAUAGGCAUGCCCCCCCAUACACGACCGCCCUCUGAUUUCACCCAACCUGCUGCUGCUGCCGCCGCCGCCGCCGUCGCUGCUGCCGCCGCCACCGCAACAGCUACUGCCACAGCAACCGUGGCAGCCCUGCAAGAGACCAAUAAAGACAUGAACCAGUAUAACCAGAUGGGGCCUACGCAAGGCUACAAUAACCAGUUCAUGAACCAGCCAGGGCCCCGUGGACCCCCGUCCAUGGCUGGAGGCAUGAACCCAGCUGGUAUGGGUGGUGGCAUGAAUAGCUCCAACAUGAGUGGCCCACCAAUGGGUAUGAACCAGCCCAGAGGCCCAGGAAUGGGGCCCUUCGGUGGCCACGGCCAAAGGAUGCCUCAACAGGGUUACCCUGGACCCAGACCUCAGUCCAUGCCCAUGCAGGGCACCAAGAGGCACUAUCCAGGAGAGCCUAAUUAUGGAGGCCAGCAGUUUGGACCCAACGGCCAGUUUCCCAACCAGCAAGGGCAGUACCCUAACCCAAACGCUUCUAGAGCCCUUCCUUCACCCAAUUACCCUGGCCAAAGGAUGCCAGGACAACAGGGCUCUGGCCAGUACCCCCCUACUGGGCAAGAGCCAUUUAAUGGUCAGAACAACAAUUUCUCUGGUGGUGGUUAUGGGUAUAGUCAAGGAAAUGGGCCUCCUCGGCAGGUGGUGAACUACCCACACUCGCCAGUUCCUGGGAACCCCACGCCACCCAUGACCCCUGGAAGUAGUAUACCAUACAUGUCGCCCAGUCAAGAUGUCACGCCCCCGUUUCCUCCAGACAUGAAGCCAAACAUGACGUCUUUGCCUCCACCUCCAAGUGAGUCACCCAACCCCAAUGAGGAGCUGCGUUUGACGUUCCCAGUGAGAGACGGAGUGGUGCUGGAGCCCUUUAGAUUAGAGCACAACCUGGCCGUCAGUAACCACGUCUUCCAUCUGCGCCCCUCCGUCCACCAGACGCUUAUGUGGAGAUCUGAUCUGGAGCUGCAGUUUAAGUGCUAUCAUCAUGAGGACCGACAAAUGAACACCAAGUGGCCCGCAUCCGUCCAAGUCAGCGUCAAUGCCACCCCCCUCACUAUUGAGAGGGGCGACAAUAAAACAUCCCACAAACCCCUGCAUCUAAAGCAUGUGUGUCAGCCAGGGAGAAACACCAUCCAGAUUACGGUCGCAGCCUGCUGUUGUUCGCACUUGUUCGUGCUGCAGCUGGUCCAUAGGCCUUCGGUGCGAUCGGUCCUGCAAGGGCUCCUCAAGAAGAGGCUCCUUCCUUCCGAACAUUGCAUUACCAAAAUUAAAAGAAACUUCAGUAGCGUAGCAGCGUCCUCUGGGAAUGCCACACUAAAUGGAGAGGAUGGAGUAGAGCAGACAGCCAUCAAAGUGUCCCUCAAGUGUCCAAUCACAUUCCGACGGAUCCAGCUCCCUGCUAGGGGACAUGACUGCAAACACGUGCAGUGCUUUGACUUAGAGUCCUAUCUGCAGCUGAACUGUGAGAGAGGAACGUGGAGAUGUCCUGUAUGCAAUAAAACAGCAUUAUUGGAAGGGCUGGAGGUGGAUCAGUACAUGUGGGGAAUUCUCAAUGCGAUCCAAAAUUCGGAGUUUGAAGAGGUCACCAUCGACCCUACGUGUAGUUGGAGACCGGUGCCCAUAAAGUCAGACAUUCAUAUAAAGGAGGACCCAGAUGGCCCUCUGGCCAAGCGUUUUAAAACCAUGAGUCCCAGUCAAAUGAUCAUGCCUAAUGUGAUGGAUAUGAUCGCCCAGCUGGGUCCCGGCCCUUCACCCUACACCCCCCUCCCCCCUCAGCACGGAGGAAAUAAUGGCGAAUAUGGGGGCCAUGGUAGAGGUCAGCACCUGAUCAGAUUCUCUGUUCUUUCCUUUCUGUCUCUCUCUCAGUCGGAGUGCUCCACUUUAUGCAGAGAGACUCAUCGCUCCUCUCUCCUCCCUUCGCAGAUGCCCCAUCCCGUGAGCGCUGAUCAAUCCCAUGCUUCCAUGCAGCCAGGCAUGCACGCAUCCCCUCACCCCAACAGCCAAUCAGCUCAGCCAUUGCAUCACAGCGGCCCCCCAUCCUCCCAGCACCCGCGCCAGCCCCCGCCCCCCCAGCAGCCAGGCCAAAACAGUCACCCACAUGCCGAAAUGACCUUCAACCCCGCCGCUGAUGGGCAGGCAGGUGGCCAGGGACCUGCAGACAUGCCCGAGCCUUCUCUGGAUCUUCUGCCAGAACUGGCGAACCCAGACGAGUUGCUGUCAUACUUAGACCCUCCUGACCUCCCAAGCAGCAGCAAUGACGAUCUGCUUUCCCUUUUUGAGAACAACUGACUUCUUUCAGUCGGCCUUUUGCAGAGGUCCUAAUUUGUUUGGCUGUCAGGAAUCGAGAGGCACCUGAAGACUGACUCUGUACUUUGCAAACAGGAAACAGCCAUCCUUUUGCCUCUUCCUCGUGUAAAUAUCUCACUCUUUUACAAGCAACCUUUUCCACACAUAUAUGGCAGCCAUGUUGGUUGGCACUAAAGUGAUAUCUUUCAAUACUAAUGGAAAUACAUGUGCAGCUAUAAUCAGUUCAUAUGAAUACGUCACACAGAACUGUGUGUGUGCUCACUAGGAAAGUAUUGUAGCAUUUUUAAUUCAGAUUUUUUUUCCUUUUGUGAAAAGAAGACCUGAAUAGAAAAUAUAUAUAUAUAUUUUCUUCCUGUACCGGCCUCUGUGUGUUCGCAAUCUCUUGAAGGUUUGUUCUUCCAAGCUCUACCACCAUGGCUUCCCAAGUCCUUGUCUGCUGGAUGUCCACACUGUUUGUCUGUCCAUCUCCCUCAAAAAAGCACAAGAGAAUGCGUCAAACUGCACCUGGAAGCCUGUAAAGGAGACAACAAAAGGGAAAAACGCCCAUCUCGGAAUCACCAGAAUGAUCUAACCCUCCCAUCCCAGAGACUAAUGAUGGGAGUUUUGCGAAAGUCCUCCAAACUCUCACGCCACAGGACACGAGAGUGUGUUCUGUUCUAGUACACCGCGCAGCUUUGCACCUCAUUUUGUAAUGCGAUUCAUAUGUCCAGCACCUUCAGACAUAUGCAUCAUGUUCUAAACAAAUGCUAGAGGGCAUCACGGCAUGCAUUCUUUUCCUUCUCGAGACAGAAUUGCAAACAUUUCAGCACUGUACCCAUAAUAUUGUGCAUCUUCCGACAGACUGUUCCUCCUUCCGUAACAUCCUAUGGAUUCUCCACACUAGUGGUCACAGGGCAAGAAGAAAGCAAUUCACAUUUCAAAGGGACGUCAGUCUUGUGUUAUCUGUCUUCUCUGUGAGUUCUCUUCAUGCAUGAGGCUUGGUCGUCUUAGGCCCUUGAUGUUUGUACCCCUCUUCUGACAAACUGCAUACAAUGUUGAAACAUUCACUUUUGCCAAUCGCCCCAUAUUUUAAGUGAUACUGUUUUUUUUCUUCCUCAAUCAUUUCUUCUGUUCAUUUUAAUUCUGCCUUUUAUUCAUGAACUGUUGUGUUAAAGUUUUAUUUUAUAAUGCACAAUAUACGUAUUGUUCAUAUAAUGGUAGUUUUUUUUUCUGUUGUUACAAUUGUACAAAAAUGUGUACAUUUAUCAAAAGAUGUCCAUGGAUUACCAAAGUUAUGCACCCUGAUUUGAGAAGGUGGCCCAAACCUAUUUUGACAAGCCCAUUUUUAAAUUUUUACCCAUAGAAUUUAAUCAAUGUAUAAUGUUUCACUUUUAGCAAUUUGUUUACAAGUAAUAUCAUAGUUAUUACAGAGCAAACAAUGAAGAAAGUGUUAGAAUAUGUUAUAUAUUUAUAGAUUUUUACUUUUUAAUUCAAUUAUAUAAUGAAGCUAUAUAUUAUCGCAGUACCCAUCAAUGAUUUCGAUUCUUACAGAAAAUGUACAUUUCAGUAAAAAUUCAGUCACUUUUAUACUGUAUCAGCAGCUCAGUGAAGGUUAACAACGUCCAUGUGUACAAGAUGGAUUUUCUUUAAGAUUUCUUUGUUUUUGUUUUUAAAUCAAAAAUGGCCCGCUUCAAUAAUUGUCAGUAUUUAUGAUAUUUGUAACAACAUUUCCGUGAUACUGAUGUUACUCAAAGACUGUUGAAGAAGGCUGACAUCUGUACACCUGAAUACUGUUUGGGAUGUGUUUUGUUGGAUGAAACAUCGCUGUUGAAACAUGUUUCCAAUUUAAGUUAUUUUUUUAUGAUUUGCAAUAUUAGUUUUUAGUUAGUUUUUUUUCCUGUUUUUCUUGGUGUAGAAUUAUGUACAAAAAUGAUGUUUGUCGUUGACAGGAAAACUGGUUCAAGUUCUAUAGCGUUUGUCUGUAGUUCACUUGUAUAUCCUUUUUCAAAGAUGCACUGCCACAUAUUCGUUCCCACUUUGUAGACACAAAUAGGCAUAAACUGAACUUUAAGACUUCUAAAGUCGGCUCUGAACUGUCACGUACUAUCGUUGUACAGUCAUUGAAGAGGCAGUGAGUGCUGAGGCGGGAACAGAAAGGUUUAAAUGAAAUAGACGGUGUGUUCACUAUUCAGCCACAGGUGAGGGUUCAGUGAGGGUCGAAGGAAAAGGGGGGAAGGGGCACAUUAGGGAUGCAUGUACAUAUGUAAAUGAUAAAUAGAGACACGUUAACAGAAAUGUAUUCAUUUUCCCCAGGGGAAUGUGCAUUGUGUAUUUAGAAUUUGUAAAGCUUGCAUCCUCCCAUCAGAAUCUAAAUUGGGUAAAAUGAAUCUGUGUUUGUUAGCGUCUGUGGAACCUCUAAGCAUUUGUUCACUUUUGUAAAAUAUUCAUCCCACAUGAGUGAGGAUCUAAACUGGUCAGAAGAAAAAAAAACAACAACAAAAAAACUAAUUGUGAUUUUUAGUCUUGCAAAACUGUAUGUAGUUAGAUGCUGUGACAUCCUAAUAUUUAUCUAAUAAAUAUGUAUUCAGAUGAAACA